UCCCUCUCCAGAUUACAAAUGGUUCAAAAUGCUGCCGCUCGACUCCUUACCGGAACUCGUAAAUGAGAUCACAUUACACCUGUUCUUGCCUCUCUUCAUUGGCUACCAGUUUGCUUUAGAAUACAUUUUAAGAUUCUGUUGUUCGUUUUUUAAGCUCUUUAUGGUCAAGCCCCAGCUUAUAUAGCUGAACUACUGAAGCCGCACGCUCCUCUGAGCAUUUUCACCUUCACAUUUUUAAAUCACGACUUAAAACUCACUUUUAUUCAUUGGCCUUUAAACCUGCUUGAGAGUUGUAUUCUGCAUUUUCAUUUUCCAGUUUGUUACUUGUUUUAAAUGUUCGUUUUUGUUACUCGUAUGUUUAUAAUCUGUCCAAAAUCAUGUCAAUGUCCAGC